GAUGAACGCUGGCGGCGUGCCUAAUACAUGCAAGUCGAGCGAACGGACGAGAAGCGUGCUUCUCUUAUGUUAGCGGCGGACGGGUGAGUAACACGUGGAUAACCGACCUAUAAGACUGGGAUAACUUCGGGAAACCGUAGCUAAUACCGGAUAAUAGUUUGAAACGCAUGGUUCAUAAGUGAAAGACGGUCUUGCUGUCACUUAUAGAUGGAUCCGAGCUGCAUUAGCUAGUUGGUAAGGUAACGGCUUACCAAGGCAACGAUGCAUAGCCGACCUGAGAGGGUGAUCGGCCACACUGGAACUGAGACACGGUCCAGACUCCUACGGGAGGCAGCAGUAGGGAAUCUUCCGCAAUGGGCGAAAGCCUGACGGAGCAACGCCGCGUGAGUGAUGAAGGUCUUCGGAUCGUAAAACUCUGUUAUUAGGGAAGAACAUAUGUGUAAGUAACUGUGCACAUCUUGACGUUACCUAAUCAGAAAGCCACGGCUAACUACGUG
rnacentral:rRNA from 1 species